GACGAACGCUGGCGGCGUGCCUAAUACAUGCAAGUCGAACGAGAGCGACCGGUGCUUGCACUGGUCAAUCUAGUGGCGAACGGGUGAGUAACACGUGGGUAACCUGCCCAUCAGAGGGGGAUAACAUUCGGAAACGGAAGCUAAAACCGCUUAGGUCUUCGAACCGCCUGGUUUGAAGAGGAAAAGAGGCGCAAGCUUCUGCUGCUGGAUGGACCCGCGGUGCAUUAGCUAGUUGGUGAGGUAACGGCUCACCAAGGCCGUGAUGCAUAGCCGACCUGAGAGAGUGAUCGGCCACAUUGGGACUGAGACACGACCCAAGCUCAUACGCGAGGCAGCAGUAGGCAAUCAUCCGCAAUAGACGCAAGUCUGACGGAGCAGCGCCGCGUGAGUGGAGAAGGUGUUCGGAUCGUGAGACUGUAUUGUUAGAGAAAAAUAAGUGCUAGAGUAACUAUUAGCAACUUGACGGUAACUAAACAGAAAGCCACGGCUGACAACGUG
rnacentral:rRNA from 1 species